UUUCUUUUUUUUCCUCUUUCUUCUUCUCUUGGUGGUUUUGGAAAACAGGGUAUCGCCCCCUUAAUUCUUGAAAUUGUGGCACUUCCGGUCAGUGGUGACCAUGGGCGGUAGCAUCUAGGGCCAUGGCAAUGCAGUCGAGCUUCCAUGACCAAUGGUUGGCCGUAAAGAUGGCUGAAAAAAGAGAGAAAGAUUGGAAUAAUCAAAGAAAAUAGGGGAUUAGUUGAAAUGAAUAGGACCUUUUUCUUUCCAACCAAAAUCUAAUGAUAAUCGAUUGAAAAACAUAGUCCAAUGGCUCGAGAAA
rnacentral:lncRNA from 1 species